rnacentral:rRNA from 1 species
UGAGUAACCUGCCCUUAACUCUGGGAUAAGCCUGGGAAACUGGGUCUAAUACCGGAUAUGACCCCUCAUCGCAUGGUGGGGGGUGGAAAGCUUUUUUGUGGUUUUGGAUGGACUCGCGGCCUAUCAGCUUGUUGGUGAGGUAAUGGCUCACCAAGGCGACGACGGGUAGCCGGCCUGAGAGGGUGACCGGCCACACUGGGACUGAGACACGGCCCAGACCUCCUACGGGAGGCAG